rnacentral:rRNA from 1 species
CAAUAGCGUAUAUUUAAGUUGUUGCAGUUAAAAAGCUCGUAGUUGGAUUUCGGGUGGGACGCAGCGGUCUCGCAUUGCGUUUGUACUGCUGCAGCCCUCCUUCUUGCCGGGGGCGGCCUCUCGGACUUCACUGUCUGGGGGUCAGAAUCGGCGAUGUUACUUUGAGUAAAUUAGAGUGUUCAAAGCAAGCUUACGCUCUGAAUAUAAUAGCAUGGGAUAACACGACAGGACUCUGGCCUAUCGUGUUGGUCUAUAGGACCAGAGUAAUGAUUAAGAGGGACAGUCGGGGGCAUUCGUAUUCCGUUGUCAGAGGUGAAAUUCUUGGAUUUACGGAAGACGAACAUCUGCGAAAGCAUUUGCCAAGGAUGUUUNCAUUGA